rnacentral:snoRNA from 1 species
AAGACUAUACUUUCAGGGAUCAUUUCUAUAGUUUGUUACAAUAGGAAGUAAGAGAAAUCAAAGUAAAACAGAUUGA